rnacentral:rRNA from 1 species
UACGUAGGGGGCAAGCGUUGUCCGGAUUUAUUGGGCGUAAAGAGCGUGUAGGCGGCUAGGUAGGUCCGUUGUGAAAACUCGAGGCUCAACCUCGAGACGCCGAUGGAAACCAUCUAGCUAGAGUCCGGAAGAGGAGAGUGGAAUUCCUGGUGUAGCGGUGAAAUGCGCAGAUAUCAGGAGGAACACCGGUGGCGAAGGCGGCUCUCUGGACGGUGACUGACGCUGAGACGCGAAAGCGUGGGGAGCAAACAGG